GCCUUUGCCCAUGACAUUGAGCUCCAGUAAAACUGGAUGGUUAUAAAGUUGGAGGCAAACAAAAUUAAAAUUUUCAGCAUUGUGACUACACAAGUACUGUAUUUAUUUGAUGAAUAAAAGUUGAACAAAUAUCUUUCACAUUGAACAUUUCUAUUAGGUUUCCAGCAAUCAAUUUGUCAUAAAUUAGUCUAUUCAUCAUCCUUAAGAAAUUCAAACGAUAAAAAUGUGAAUAUUCUGGAUGACAAUCAUACCACUGGUAACAUAAGGUCCAAAAACUACACGACUCUUGAAUAGGUGAAAAUCUUUUUUAAAA
rnacentral:misc_RNA from 1 species